rnacentral:rRNA from 1 species
AACGAACGCUGGCGGCGUGGAUAAGACAUGCAAGUCGAACGGGAUAUUAUUUGUAGCAAUACAAAUGAUGUCUAGUGGCGUAAGGGUGCGUAACACGUGGGGAAUCUGCCGAGAAGUGGGGGAUAGCUCGCCGAAAGGCGAAUUAAUACCGCAUGUGGUCAGUGAGGACAUCCUCACGACACCAAAGCCGGGGCAACCUGGCGCUUCUUGAUGACCCCGCGGCCUAUCAGCUAGUUGGUGAGGUAACGGCUCACCAAGGCUAUGACGGGUAGCUGGUCUGAGAGGACGACCAGCCACACUGGAACUGAGACACGGUCCAGACACCUACGGGUGGCAGCAGUCGAGAAUUUUUCUCAAUGGGGGAAACCCUGAAGGAGCGACGCCGCGUGGAGGAUGAAGGUCUUCGGAUUGUAAACUCCUGUCAUUUGGGAACAAGUUGCAUCGAUUAACUGUCGAUGCAUUGAUAGUACCAGAAGAGGAAGAGACGGCUAACUCUGUGCCAGCCGCCGCGGUAAAAC